rnacentral:rRNA from 1 species
GUCGAACGCUGUAGCAAUACAGAGUGGCAGACGGGUGAGUAACGCGUGGGAACAUGCCCUUCGGUUCGGAAUAACUCAGGGAAACUUGAGCUAAUACCGGAUACGCCCUUAGGGGGAAAGAUUUAUUGCCGAAGGAUUGGCCCGCGUCCGAUUAGCUAGUUGGUGAGGUAAUGGCUCACCAAGGCGACGAUCGGUAGCUGGUCUGAGAGGAUGAUCAGCACACUGAGACUGAGACACGGCCCAGACUCCUACGGGAGGCAGCAGUGGGGAAUAUUGGACAAUGGGCGCAAGCCUGAUCCAGCCAUGCCGCGUGAGUGAUGAAGGCCCUAGGGUUGUAAAGCUCUUUCGCCAGGGACGAUAAUGACGGUACCUGGAUAAGAAGCCCCGGCUAACUUCGUGCCAGCCGCCGCAGUAAAAC